rnacentral:rRNA from 1 species
AAACUUGAGCUAAUACCGGAUACGUGCGAGAGCAGAAAGAUUUAUCGCCGAAGGAUUGGCCCGCGUCCGAUUAGCUAGUUGGUGAGGUAAUGGCUCACCAAGGCGACGAUCGGUAGCUGGUCUGAGGGGAUGAUCAUGCCACACUGGGACUGAGACACGGCCCAGACUCCUACGGGAGGCAGCAGUGGGGAAUAUUGGACAAUGGGCGCAAGCCUGAUCCAGCCAUGCCGCGUGAGUGAUGAAGGCCCUAGGGUUGUAAAGCUCUUUCGCCAGGGACGAUAAUGACGGUACCUGGAUAAGAAGCCCCGGCUAACUUC